CCUACGGGUGGCAGCAGUAGGGAAUUUUGCGCAAUGGGGGAAACCCUGAAGCAGCAACACCGCGUGAAUGUUAAGCCCUUUGGGGUUUAAAAUUCUGUUAUUUGGGACGAAUUACGACUGUACCUAUAAACUAACCAACGUCCAACACCGUGACGGCAGCCCCGGUAAUAUGCCGGGUGCAAGCGUUGUCCGGAAUCUUUGGGCGUAAAGCGUUCGUAGGCGGUAUGUCAAGUCUGAUGUUAAAGCCCGGGGCUCAACUCCGGUUCGGCAUUGGAUACUGGCACACUAGAAUGUGGUAGAGGUAGAGGGAAUUCGUGGUGUAGCGGUGAAAUGCUUAGAUAUCAGGAGGAACACCGGUGGCGAAAGCGCUUUACUGGACCAUUACUGACGCUGAGGAACGAAAGCGAGGGGAGCGAAUGGGAUUAGAUACCCUGGUAGUC
rnacentral:rRNA from 1 species